rnacentral:lncRNA from 1 species
UCAUGAGUCUGAUUUGUCUUAUUUAGGCUAUGGCCUGUAUCAAAUAUGGCCAACUUAUGUUGGUGUAACAAGUUACAGAUGAGCCAGCCUACCUGUUUGUAUGAGUGUUCUUAACUUGCCCCACAUGCAACAAAAAUGCUGCUAGUUUUCAAAACCCCUGUGUUUAAGGUAUGCAAGUGUAAAUUCAUAUAUAGAGCAACAGGCAAUGAAGAUUCUUUCUAGAGGCAGGUGACAUGGAGUUAUAGAAAUGUAGAAGAUAGUACUUUCUCUUUCUCCUGUGCCUCCUGACCCAUUAGAUUAUCUUCUGUAGAAAUACCAUUAACAAUCUCUGAAUCUUUUGAAAUUUGGGUUGUUAGCUUUCCUCAGGUUGGAAAGACUUCUUGAGAAAGUUUCUGGAAGUCAGGAGCAUCCCUUGGAAUGGAACAGGGAAUACAGAAGCCUUCAACAGAGGAAGAAGUGUUAAACAGAAAGAUUGAGAAUGAACUCAAAACCAAGAACCUUAUUCAGCAUCAUCUUAUGACAGGGAAUUUUCAGAGCAAACCGGAGGCGCUGGUGUCAGAAGAGAGCCAAGGCUUUCAGCUGAAACAUUGGGAAGGUGUUUGUCUUUCAAUUGUCCAAAUAUUGAAAAGCUGA